rnacentral:tRNA from 1 species
GGCAGGAUGGCCGAGUGGUCUAAGGCGCUGCUUUCAGGUCGCAGUCUCCUCUGUAGGCGCGGGUUCGAAUCCCGCUCCUGUCA